CCUACGGGAGGCAGCAGUGGGGAAUAUUGCACAAUGGGCGCAAGCCUGAUGCAGCCAUGCCGCGUGUAUGAAGAAGGCCUUCGGGUUGUAAAGUACUUUCAGCGGGGAGGAAGGCGAUAAGGUUAAUAACCUUGUCGAUUGACGUUACCCGCAGAAGAAGCACCGGCUAACUACGUGCCAGCAGCCGCGGUAAUA
rnacentral:rRNA from 1 species